rnacentral:rRNA from 1 species
UACGUAGGCAGCGAGCGUUGUUCGGAGUUACUGGGCGUAAAGAGUGCGUAGGCGGUUUUCUAAGUUUGGUGUGAAAUCUCCCGGCUUAACUGGGAGGGUGCGCCGAAGACUGGAAGGCUUGAGUAUGGGAGAGGUAAGCGGAAUUCCUGGUGUAGCGGUGAAAUGCGUAGAGAUCAGGAGGAACACCCGUGGCGAAGGCGGCCCUCUGGCUCGACCCUGACGCUGAGAGGCGAAAGCGUGGGGAGCGAACGGG